ensembl:lncRNA
UAUAUAUAUAUAUAUACACACACAGACACACACACACACACAUACAUACAUACAUACAUACAUACAUGCAUAUAUAUACAUGCAUGUGUUAAUAACAGUGUUAAUUAUUAAUAACUUUUGUAGUUUCACUUUUAACAUCUGUUAUUCAGUACGGGGAAAAAGAUCCAACCAUUUUACCAUGGAUGAAAAUGAAUGACAUGACCACAGGAUUUUUGACCGUUGUUGUCAAUAAAGGUGAGAGUAGACACCCUAGAAUGACUUCGUGAUCAUAGUUUGCUUAUAAGUAGCUGGAAUUUGUUGGAUAUUGGGUUAUAAUGAAAAAUUAAGUCAGUGACAGCUUCAUGGAUGUUCAUUUGCUAGUUAGAGAUGGCACAAUACCAUUUUUUUAGUUUUCCAAUACUGAAUUCUUGAGUAUCAGAUUUCACUUAAAAAAGAAAAAACCUACAGGGGAAGAUACAUAGCUAACAUAAAGUAUAAAGUGUAAAUACAGGGUGUCCCAAAUAGUCUCCGCACAUAGGAAUGUUCAUGGACAUCCACGUCUGGGUUGGUUCACAACAAAUUUUGAAUUUGUUAAUAAGUUUGGCAACAUUGGGAAUGAUUUCAAUGCUUUCUACUUUUGUUAAAGGCAUUCUGAAGGCUAUCUGUGGUAAAAAUAUAUAAUAUAUAAACUAAGUAUGAACAAUUUUGGAAGACAUUUUGCUAAAAAGUGUUCAUUUACCCCGUGUAUGGCGACUUUUGGGACCCCCUGUAUAAUAAAAAAUAAAUCAAGUACAAUCAAGUAUGUAAACAUUUCCAGUUCAAAAGAAAUCUUUUCCAAAUUUAAUUCCAAUCUUUUCCAUUUCUUUUUUCCAACUGAUAUCCGUUCCUCUCGUUUGCUGGUAUCGGUCUGAUACCAAUCAUGGGUGUUGGAUCGGUCCCAUGCCUAUUGCUAGUUUUUUUUCUUCUUCCUAUUUUCUGUAAAUGGACAAUCAUAGAGAGAUGUUUUGCAUAUUGAAAUGUGAACGUCUUAGCUCCGUGCCUGUCCUCCGUGUCUGUCGACUUCACUAUUUAUCUUAUCAGCGAGCAUGAGGGGAAGCGUGUAUUUGUGGAAAUGAUUCGUCAGUUUAGGAAGUAAUAAUAGAUUUGGGCUGAGAGUUGUACAAACAAGACCUUCAGCAGGCAGCGAGAGAGAGAGAGAGAGAGAGAGAGAGAGAGAGAGAGUGAGAGAAACUUUUAGUGCAUUGUAAUGUAUUCCACAUCACGUGCUUUUCAGCUAGGGGGAUAUAAUCAGAGAUCCAGUCCCAAAUAAACAUUUGUUGUUUACACUUUGAGAUAUUGAUAGCUUAAUGGGACUGGAAAGAAAAAGCAGAUGAUGCCACUCUCUGUAUGAACUUAAUGUAUGAAAUUAAAAAGGAUAAUAUAUAAAGUAUUAGAUCAUGAGUGAAUGUAUUAUUAAUACUACUAGGAGCAUUAGCCAUAGAUUUUAAAUAACAUGCUAUAGUGUGUGACAGUUUGUUUUUUUUAAUUUAAGGUAGUAAUAGUGAGAGAGAUGUUUUGUAUUUUCAUUUUAUUUCCAUUCAUUUUUUCUUCUUUCACAAAUAAUAGCCAGUGCUAUGCUAGCUGUAGUUGUUCACUAUAAACUCAAUUAGCUCAGCUGUGCAUGCGUUGGGGUGAAUGUGUUUUUCUGCACAGAAAUACAUGCCAUGACACCAUAUGAAGAAUUCUUAUACAACUCAAAAUCAUGAAAGCUGGUUACAACCUUUUUGAAAAUAAAUAACAUUUUUUAGUAACAUUGUAGUAGUGGCAUGGGUAUUAAAUUCUGUGUUUUGGGAAACGACAGGGUUUGUUUCUUCUCUCAAAUAGAACUACUAUGAAGAUUGCUCUUUGCCUUUUAGGUGUUUAAAUUUUUUAUCAGAUACAGUACUGUGCAAAAGUUUUAGGCACAUGCAAAGAAAAGCUGUAGAGCAAAGAUACUUUCAAAAUAAUAAAAUUAAACGUUUCUACAUUUUAAAAAAAUUGCAUAAAGAGCAGUUAACAGUAGUAAAUGAAACAAAGUCAAUAUUUAGUGUGACAAAAAUAAAUAAAUAAUAAAAAAAAAUAGUAGUCUCCAGUACAAUUAGUGCAGUUUUUUAAGGAAAUUAGCUAUCAAGUUCUUCUGGAGAAUUUGCCUGUCGCACUUGCUUUUUAUUUUUGCAGCAAAAUCCAGCAGCCUUCGUUAUGUUUUUUGUCUGAAAAGUGCCUCUUAUGUAAUUUGCUGCUUUCUUUAAUGACAUACAAACAUUUUUCUGUAACAUUUAAUUUUGUGCUAGAAACCCAAUGUUUGGGGAAAUGUUUUUUGUACUGACUUGAUAAUGUAGAAGUCAUCAAAUAAAAGAAAAAAAACUAUAAUAAAAUUUUUACUAAGAAAAACAGGGUGCCUAAAACUUUUGCACAGUACUGCUGAUUUUGCAUAUUGAAGUUUUAUGGUUCAGUUGUAUUUAAUGUAUGUUCCACGUUGAGUGAAAGUGACUCACGUGAGUGAGUGAGUCGUUUCUGACUCACAUAGGAAUACAUUAUAAUACUGUAGCAUUAAAUAUUACAUUUAAAUCUUGUAAUUGUAAUAUGUAAUUGUUUAAUUGUUGUACUGUAUACUAUAUAUCUUGUAUUGUACACAUAUUGGAUAUGUAGAAGGAGGUAGAAUUGCAGUUUUCUCUCAUAAUCUUCAAUUAUUUUAUUAGCAUAAAACUUUAAUAAAAUGCUCCUGCUAGAGAGAGAGAGAGAGAAAGAGAGAGAGUGAGAGAGAGAUGUCAUCCCCACUGUCAUAUCAUUAAACCGUCAUACCCCUAGUACCAAAUAACACAUUUUUCUUUUCACUCCCACUCUUCCCCUUUCCUUCCCUCACUGUAAGUCAAAUUUUCAGAAACGCACACUGUAGUAUGUGGGAGUAGAAGCAAUGAAGAACUGUACCACAAAAAUGCAAGGGGCUCAUCCUAAGCAGACUCAGAGGUGGAAAUAAUUGCUUCCAUGCAUGCUGCCAGAUCCAGGGUUAAGUUGUCUUCAGUGCUCAGCUUGUCAAUGAAGCCUUUAUCUUCCAGCCGCUUUUGUCUUGCCCCAUAGAGCCUACUGUAUUUUAUACUGACUUGAAAUGUCUUUUGUGUUCAGUUUGUGUUUAUGGCACUGACACAGAGCCUGUUAUUCUUUGCCAGGAAAAAUGAUUUUUUUUUUUUUCCUCGGCUCUCCUGUAAGCUCUCCCUCUUGACCCCUUCACCUCUCCAGUAAUUUUAAAGCCCAAUAAAAGUCAUUCAAAUGGUGGAUGCUACUCCACUUGUCAUUCUGCUUAAAAGGAUCAGUCCCUUCCAGUGUUAUGGGUGAUAAGAGUUGUAACCGCAUGUUUUUAUACACAUCAUACUAAAGUAGCCCAGACAAAUGUUGAAUAUCUUACUGGCUGCUCUAAGGUUAUUGUUAUUUAAGCAUUACUGCUUGAUUCCAGACAUUUUCACUCUCUUUUACUGACCUCAUGUGCAACCUAACCAGCUUUUAAUGCGUGUACAAGACAUGAAGGCCAGAUUUAUUUGUGUGGCAUGUUUAACUGUUGGUUAGUAUUUUACAGUAGUGCUCAGCAUGCACAUUUUUUGUGAACCUCUCUAAUUUCUUGCAUCUUUAUUGUUUUACUUAAGACGUUUACUUUAACGAUUAGCUACGUAAUUAAAAUUGUACAUGGAGGGGGAAAAAAACAUUGUUAAUGCACAGAAAUGUAGAAAUGUAAUAAGUAAUAUCAAGUGCUACAAUGGUUUAUUGCUAUGAAAAUGAUUCAUUUCCUAUCAGUACUAAUAUAUGUAGUCUUAUUAUCAUAUUUGCAGGCCCGCCAAGUGAAUUAGCUACGUGAUUACAUACAGGACUAAUUAACACGUGUGUUGCAGUUUGGCAGCGAGUCACUGCAGGCCUCAGUGUGUGAAACUGCCGGUAUUAAAGACAUCCACUAUGUCAGCGCAACAGUGGAUCAAUAGCGACAAAAGAGUUGGGAAAUUCUUUGAACUGAGCUCUCAAUCAAAUGACCAGUGUUGUUGAUUUUCAGUAGCAUAACUGUAGUGUAUUCACCUUUUAAUUAUUAACUAGCUCAUAAAUAAUUACAUAAAUAAUUCAUAAAUAAUACAUAGUAUUCAUGAAAAAGGUUCAAAAGUCACCAUUAAACAACCACUGUGUAGGUGGGUUUUUAAUAUGCUUGAUCAGACACCAAAUCAUUUAAUAAGAUGAAAAUGAUAAUUUAAAUCGUUCCUGCAACAAGUGAAUGUGCUGUGUCCUUAUUGUCAAAGAAGCCUAUAUUUUUUUCCUAUCUAUCUAUCUAUCUGUCUGUCUGUCUGUCUGUCUGUCUGUCUGUCUGUCUGUCUGUCCGUCCGUUCGUCUGUCUUUUUUCUUUAUUUAAUUGUUUUUUUUAUGCAUUUAUUUUGAACUACAGACUAUCUUCCGGAAAUGUUACUUGAUUUAUAAAUAUUCUUCCUAGCAUAUUGUGGCUUACAUCUUCCCUAACAUUGCUUAAAUAAAAAGACUACAGAGCAAUAAAUGGACAAAUGACUUAUAUAAUCCUUGCUUGUUACAAUGAAUGCUGAUUAUCAGUAUUAUUACAUUUUCGUUGCACAUGCUCAGAAUGCAGGAAAUUCUCCGAAAUGUUCCAUCACAGCUGCUGCCUCUUUUCUCCUUCUAUUUUUUUUUCUUUUUCCUACGGAUGAGAUGAUUACUUAUUUUCAAACUCUUCACAAAGAACUCACUGGACCUUGGCACACAUUUAAUACAUUUAAAGCAUUGACAAUUUUUAAGUGUGUAAUGUGAAUGUCAAAGCAGGAUCAGUGCUGCUCACUCACCAGACACACUCCACUGAUGUGACUGAGAGAGAGAGAGAGAGAGAGAGAGAGAGAGAGAGAGAGAGGGAAUAAAUGGAUGAUUGAGGGAGAGAAAGAGAGGAGGAGGGAUAGAGAAAGGGUUUGGCUGGGAGUCCAGAAAAAAUAACAAAUAAUGUGUCCUGGGAAGGAGACGGCUUUUGAGAAAGUGGCAGUGCCAUGAAAGCGCUGACCUCUCUCACUAAGGUUCAUGUCUCUGUGUGCAGAACCAGAUGGGUAAUAGCACAAUGCUGAAAUCAUGCUGCACAUAUUAUGGGCCCUGUGAUUGCCAACCUGAUUACCUGCCAUAUGCUUGCUGAAGGAUUCAACAGAAAAUGGGAUAGUAUGCAAAGCUCUUUUUAAAGCAACGUUUUUAUAGAGGAGUCAUUAUGCCAACAUGGAGGCUUGCACAAAUGAAAGCGAGCGUCACGGGGAAGGAAAAUAAUGAAGUCGUAAAAGUCAGGGCUCAUGGUGCACGGGUUCCACCAGGGUCUCACCACUGCCCCUUUGGCUCGGUGCCUGGAUGUGUGCGUGGGACUGUGAGUAGGCCGUGCCACUGGGUUGGAUAAGACAGAAGGGAAGCAUGAGAAUGCUGAAGAAUAGCUGCAUGCUUUCUCAAAAAAUCCUCCAAUAAUCUACUCAGGAAUGAGUUCACUGAGCAACUUUAAACUGUGUACUCAUGUGCAUUCAAACGCAUAAGACUCUCCUUCGAGCUCUGGAAUAUUCCACAUUUAUUUAUUUAUUUGUUUGUUUGUUUGAUAGGUUGAUUGUUACAAUAUACAUGCAUACAUACGUAUCAGAGUUUUCACUUAGAAAUUUUGGUAAAACGUAAACAAUAUACAUUUCGGUGUUUAUUUUUGCCCCGUGUAACAUUUUGGAUUAUGCAUAGUAUAUACAAUAUAAUAAUAACAAAACAAUCAAGUCAAAUGAAAGGUAAAAGUAUAUUUACUGUCUAAUAGACAGUAGUGUGGAAUUAGUGUCUAAAAAACAAACUUUCAAAACAAAAACAGGAUGCAGCAAAAUGCUAAACUACAGUUUGCCACGUAUAUUUCUGUUUACAAAGAAAUAUUAAAAUACCGAAAAUCAUAUAAUUUCCCACACUAAUUUGUUUCUCUUCAUUUUUAUGACUAUUUUCUGCGAUUUUUCAUGGCACAGAAGCGGUUUUGUGAAAUCUUUUUGUCCGGCAUUUUUCGGCAGAUGGACUUGUAAUAUUUGAGCUAUAUACCGCACACGCUCACAUAUACAAACUGCGUAAGUAUCAAGGAUGUAAUAGCGAGCCAGUCAGAAUACCCACUACAGGAGAAACAUAAACAAUAUAUAUUUGCACAGACAUAGAGACCUUAUUUAGGUGAACAAUUGCAAAUGUACUUUGUCUAAUGUAUAUCUGCUUCGUGUUAACAUGUUUACCGGACAUUGUGUCCGACAAUUUUUAACGGUCAAACAUACAUACGUACAUACAUACCCCAUUUCUCCAGUCCUCCCCCACCUAGCUAGCUCUCCUCUAUCACAUGGCAGGGAUGUUACUACUAACCAGGGAUGGUGAAGGCUAGUGCAUGCUUCCUCUGAGAAACAGAUAUUUCCUUCUGCAAAACAUGAGCUCACAGUUGACCACCAUUGGCUAUUGUUGCUGUGAUUUACAGGGGAGAGAAUAAUGCCACCCCUCCCACUUUACUCCCUUGUACUCUGGCCACAACCCAAUCACAACCAACACAUUCGCAUGUAACUUAUCUGCAGCACCUUCAAUAUGGUCUGCUUUGAAAAUACCAGAGUUACCAUUAAUGCGCUUCCACCUGGCUCGAUUGUGUUUGCAGUGAACAGGAGAAGUUUCAUUAGUUUGGAAAGUCUAAUCAUAUGUCAUGGAAAGCACAAGGUUAUGUUAAAAAAGAGAUCAAUUAUGUAAAAGAGAGGUAAAUUAUUUAAUACAUAUUGAGCUUAUUCAAAUAGCGUAUGUGUUCAUGUUAGUUUAGUUAAAAUGCAUUGGUGAAGAAAAUGCCAUAAAGAGCAUUCAAGUGAUACAUUAUACAUUUGAUACAUACAGGAGGUGCUGCAGAUAAGUUGCGAGUGAACAUUUUGUUUGUUUGUUUGUUUGUUUUCUCUCUGUGAGACUGGGUAGGCCAUGGAUGACAUCUCAACAUCAGGAUUCCAUCUCAUGCUCUCCAGAUGAUAUAGCAAACACCUUUCUUUUGUGGCACUUGGGAAUCCCAUGUAGAUAGUGUUUUUGCGUCAUUCUAACCGCAUCUUAAAUCGAGACAAUGGUUAAACAUGGUUAAACACACCAUACAUUUCAUGUCUGAAUAAGAUUUUGAUACGCUCGAUAUUGUCUCAGCUCUGUGUUCACAUGUCUUCUUGUGCCCUGUAAUGAGCUGGGUGGGAACCUUUUCCGUACCAGGAGAUUUGCCCGACUUUCAUUGCUUCAUGUCAUCUACUAAAAGAGAAUUUUUGCAUAAUCUUUAAGUACCUUUAUGGCCUACUUAGCAUAACAUGAUUCCUCUGCUGGUGAGAUUGUAUUUGGGUCAGCUUCUUUCUAAUUCUCUUUCAUUGGGAAUCUCCUCCGACGUCCUGCACGCUAUCCGGCGACAUCAUUAAUUCUAAUGUAGGUCACCCGAGAUUUUAUGAAGUAGGGUGGUAUUUACAUUUUUAAUUAAGACAUAACAGUUAGGUGCAGAUU